AAUUAUUUAAUAAAAAAAUAAAUUAUCCAAGUCUAUAAUAUUCCUAUAAUCUUAAUUAUCCAUGGAGUUGUGCGCGUCCUAGAAACCGCAUCAGCUAACCCUAACUGCUACAACCGUCAUCUCCUCCCAUCGACGUCUUGCCAUUUCUACCUCUCACGGUAUCUCCUCUGCUUCUCGACGUCGCAUACGCCGCGACUCAAAAUACGAAUUCCCUGCGCCGUCUUUUCAGUCGAGCUCGACGCUGCCACUCUAAUAUCCUCAAACUCGUAUCGCUGCUUCUUCAAAUACCGAAGCAACAUUUUUUCCGCCGGCGCCGCUCCAAAUAGUACAGUAACGGCAGGUAAGUUGGUGUUUGAGAAUCCGAUCGUUUCCAUUACAAUCAUGCCUCUAACUAUAUUUAAUCGAUACAGAAGAUGUAUUCUCUCCGUUCCGUUAGCCAUGCCCGCUUGUCCCUGCUUCGAUGUCGUGAUUCCCUCAAAUGGGCCUCUCAGUUUUCAUCCAAAUCUGGCGGUUUUCCAGGUAGGUUUCUUGUCUUGCCCGCUGUUUGUUUAACGGGAAAAUAUAGAGAAAGUAAUUUUUCUUUUAUGUUUUCUCUCUUUUCAUGUUAUUUUAGGGCUUAAAGAUUUAUUUCCUCCUUCAGGGUUUUAUUUGUUUCGUUUGAUUGAUGAGCUCAACGUGUGAUCUGCGUCGAGCUUGCUUUUGAUUUCUGCUAAAUUGCUUGCUUAAUAGAGCUAAUUUUGUCAUGAUUGACUUUAUCAACUAAAAACAUAGUUUGCUUCGUGCAUAUUUUGUUUCUUGCUGAUCGAAUAUGAGCUAAUUUAUUGAAACUCGUUCGUCAGAAAAAAAGGAACAUAUGUUCAUUUCCAUGGUUUUGUAGAAAGUGGCCUGAUUUCAGAUUCAAAGUAUGAGCAGCUCUUUUCUCUCUUUUCUUUCUCAAUUAAAUCUAAUAGUGAUCAGUAUAUAAGAUAUUGUUGAACUUAUUUGCGAAUACACACUUA
rnacentral:lncRNA from 1 species